rnacentral:rRNA from 1 species
UGCCUCAGUAACGGCGAGUGAAGCGGCAACAGCUCAAAUUUGAAAUCUGGCCUCUGGCCCGAGUUGUAAUUUGCAGAGGAUGUUUCUGGCGAGGUGCCUUCCGAGUUCCCUGGAACGGGACGCCAUAGAGGGUGAGAGCCCCGUACGGUUGGUCGCUAAGCCUCUGUGAAACUCCUUCGACGAGUCGAGUAGUUUGGGAAUGCUGCUCUAAAUGGGAGGUGUACGCCUUCUUAAGCUAAAUACCGGCUAGAGACCGAUAGCGCACAAGUAGAGUGAUCGAAAGAUGAAAAGCACUUUGAAAAGAGGGUUAAAAAGUACGUGAAAUUGUUGAAAGGGAAGCGCUCUUGACCAGACUUGCGCCGGUUGAUCAUCCGCCGUUCUCGGUGGUGCACUCUGCCGGCUCAGGCCAGCAUCAGUUCGGUCCGGGGGAUAAAGGCUUCGGGAAUGUGGCUCUCUCCGGGGAGUGUUAUAGCCCGUUGCGUAAUACCCUGGGCUGGACUGAGGUUCGCGCAUCUGCAUGGAUGCUGGCGUAAUGGUUAUCAGUGACCCGUCUUGAAACACGGACCAAGGAGUCGUCUUCGUAUGCGAGUGUUCGGGU